rnacentral:rRNA from 1 species
AGUGAACGCUGGCGGUAGGCCUAACACAUGCAAGUCGAACGGCAGCACAGUAAGAGCUUGCUCUUACGGGUGGCGAGUGGCGGACGGGUGAGGAAUACAUCGGAAUCUACUUUUUCGUGGGGGAUAACGUAGGGAAACUUACGCUAAUACCGCAUACGACCUACGGGUGAAAGCAGGGGAUCUUCGGACCUUGCGCGAUUGAAUGAGCCGAUGUCGGAUUAGCUAGUUGGCGGGGUAAAGGCCCACCAAGGCGACGAUCCGUAGCUGGUCUGAGAGGAUGGUCGGCCACACUGGAACUUGGACACGGUCCAGACUCCUACGGGAGGCAGCAGUGGGGAAUAUUGGACAAUGGGCGCAAGCCUGAUCCAGCCAUCCCGCGUGGGUGAAGAAGGCCUUCGGGUUGUAAAGCCCUUUUGUUGGGAAAGAAAAGCAGCAGGUUAAUACCCCGCUGUUCUGACGGUACCCAAAGAAUAAGCACCGGCUAACUUCGUG